GGAGGUGUGGCUCAAGUGGUAGAGUGUCUGCCUCACAUACUCAAGAUCUUGAGUUCAAACCUCAGCACCUUCA
rnacentral:tRNA from 1 species